AAUAAGUUCAUUUUUCAGUUUCUGGAUACAAUCUUUGACUCUUUGUCUUAUUUGAAAAUUUUUUGCGAUUAAUAUUUUUAUUGUUAUUAGAUGAUAAAACAUGAAUAAUAUUUUACGCAUGACUUUUUUUUUGAAAUUUUUUUAUAAUUUCUUCAAAUAAGAUGGAUGGUCAAACGUUGGACACAGAAAUCAAAAAAUGAAGUUUUU
rfam:Oryza brachyantha chromosome 4, whole genome shotgun sequence.